ensembl:lncRNA
CUCACAGCUGUUAUAAAAACAAAGAAGGUAAAGCAACCCUACAGCAGAGUCAAACAUGGCGAGUGUUACUGUGACAUCCUGUUGGAAGAGUCUUCUGCUGGUGGCACUUAUGGGUGUACCAGGUUUGGGGAUCACCGUGGAGAUUUCUUGGACUGGCAGGGUGACAGCUGGUUCCCCCACUACUUUCACAUGCUCAUCUAGUUGUUUUCCAAACUGCAUCUACACCUGGUCCUUUAAUGGCAGCACAGUCAAUGGGAGCACGUUAACUUGGACACCAGAUGGACUGGAUGAUACAGUGAAACUGCAAUGCACUGUCUUAGAUCUACAAACAGGAGAGUACUUAAGUACUGACGCCACUGUAGAAAUUAUAAAUCAAGUGUCUGUACAGGUCAGUCCGCUGAACACUGUCCCAUCUCUCAACCAGUCACUAAAUCUCAUCUGCCAUGAUGCCAGAUUUGGUGAUCCACAAGGUCUAUCAGACCUGGUCUGGUAUAAAGAUGGACAAAAGGUGACCCUGCGUGAAAAUAUGUGGCUUCAGCAAAACAACCUCACACUUCACUUUGACUCACUGCUGCCUUCUGAUGCUGGUUUCUACCAGUGUCAAAUUUAUCUGCCUACAUCACAGACAAGAGUUGUCAGCCUGGGCUAUCUGUGUUGGCUCAGCUAUGAUCAGUGGAACGUCAGCAUUAGUGGACCUGACACUGUGUUUCCUGGUCAGUUAAGUGAGUUCACCUGCCUGACCAGCUGCACCUUAAAUGUGGAAUGCACCGUCACGUGGAAGUUCAGGGGAGGUUUCCCUGUUGGAACCUACCUUUCCAUCAAUAAAAAUGUGGUCAAGUGGACUCCUUCACUACCUGGGACUUUUCAGAACUUCACCUGCGUUGCAGAGAAUAAAGCUGCUGGACGUUCUGCUGAGGCCACCAAGAUGGUAGAAGUUAAAGAUAUCUGGCGAACAGAUAUCCCAAUCUCUGGAUCAGAGGCGAUGCAGCUCAGUGGACUUUUUGCAGGAAUCCUCAGUCUGGGACUGUGGGUCCUCUAGGGUUGGGCUCUAGAAACAAUUUACUUAUAUUCACUUCAAAGAGAUAGUUCAUCCCAGUAUCAGCUUUAUGCCCAAAUAAACACAUGACUACACCAUGGAUUAUCAUAGAAUAGUUACUACAACUAAAUGCAGCUGAUAUCUACUCAACUCAGACUUACACAGUUUUCGUGUGAAUAUUUUCCCUGCUAUUUAUUUCUGCAGCAGCUUAUUCUUUUUAUUAUUAUUCGUGCAAAAGAAACAUAUGUGAUGUCAAUUGUUAGAAAAGUAGAAGCAGUAGUUUUUACUUAUGAAUUAUUGUAAAACAUAUGAACACACAUAUGAAAAAUAAAUUGUGUGCGUUAAGUCACAGUUGGAGUUGAUUCCUAUUUAACAAUUAAAGUUGACACAUUAUUUCCUUUAUGCUCAUUUAUAGUCUACGUUUUAAUUAUGACCACAAGGUGUCACCAAAAACACAGAAGCACUGGAUUUCAACGACAGUGGAACAUAAAAUGUAAAAUAUUUCUAUGAAUGAUAUUGCAAUAAGUACUCUGACUGUUUGGGGUUUUUUUUCAAAAACAAACUUCAAGAUUUAUUAAAAAUUAUUUCGCUGGAAUGUAACUCCUUCAGUGAGAAAGGAUUUUUGUGAAGUCAGCUUGAUAAACAAAUUGUGUGACGUCCAUCCUGCGCACAUGUGGUCAGUGAUUCAACAAUCUGUUUCAUGUUCCUUUGAAACUGAACAAUUAAUGCAGAGAAGACAACCACACUGAGCAAACUGAGAGCGACUGAGUUUUUCAGGUGUUUUGUUUCUACCUUUGUUAUUUUCUUUUAUUCUUUUGUCAUAUCUCAGUUGCUUUAUUAGGCGUAAGAAUAGGUGGGGAAAAUGAAACUAAAACAUUUGCUUUCAUUUUGUUGUAAAAGAAACCAAAAUUUGCAUGUUAACCUCAUUCUAGUUUCAGUUGAAAUGCUGCAAACUCUGUAGUAUCUCUGUGUGUGUGUGUGUGUGUGUGUGUGUGUGUGUGUGUGUACAUAUAUAUAUAUAUAUAUAUAUAUACAUAUCCUGUGUUUAAUUAUAAACUAGAAAAUGUAGGUUGGUGUUUUAUGUUAUGUCUGUUAUGUACUUUCUCUUUUAAAUUAAAGAAACAAAAAAUAUUCCAUAUUGGAAGACAUCACCAUUAGGGAUGGGUAUUGAUAAGAUUUUAACGAUUCCGAUUCCAUUUUCGAUUCUGUUUAACGAUUCGAUUCUUUAUCGAUUCUCUUAUCGAUUCUCUUAUCGAUUCUUGUUUUUAAAAAAGGAGAACACUAAGGUCGAUUAGCUUAGAACUGUUUUAUAUCUUCUCUUUCAACAAGAUAGAAAUUUAGGAGUAACAUGGCCUUACAAACCCAACAGUGAGAUCUUAAGAGAUCCACAGCCUACGGCUCUUCAAUGGGGUGUCACAGGGUCCCCGGGGAAAAUUGUAAACGUAAAAUAAUAAAAUAAAUAUUCUUCUGUAGCAAUAACAAAGUAUAACAUAAAUUAUUCUGUAGCAAUUACACAAGAAUAUCCAGUAAUCCAGCUGCCCCUCUGUUGGUCUUCCUUGGUCUCUUGUGUUCUGGGGGCCUCUGGAUGUCUAGAGUUUUGAUCUCCUCCAUACCUGCGUCAUGCCCUGGAGGACGGGGCAGUGGCCCCCCACACCCUCUAGCAGAUCAUUACAUGAAGGAACCUUUAAAAAAAAACAAAAAAAAACAAGCGCGUUCAUGCUCACAGGUGUACACACAGGUGAUCACACACAAACUACACCCUUUUUGGCUCUUACCUCAAAGCACACUGUGCGCUGUCGAUCUUACGUGCUGCACAAUAAUGUCUAACAUUUAGUAUUUACUGUCAUAUUCCCAUAGAUCAUUGUGAUGUUGUUUAUUACUCUCGUUUUCUUCUGC